ensembl:lncRNA
CAGUAUUUCUGCGAGGAACGUCACAUCUCACGGGGCAUCCCUCCUCUCCUCCCGCAACGUGACAGCUGUUCCGAGGGAUGAGGCUGCGAGGCAGAGCGACUUAAAGCAAAAUUUGAGAUCCUCGCGUGCAGAAUAGGAGAUAACAUCUGGGCCAGAUUAAAGGCCCAGGCAUUGCAGACUGGCUCUGACAUCAGACUCCAGCAGUCAUGUGAUGAUAUCAGACUUUCAGAUUCUACUGGGGAGAAACCGCAAGUCAAAACUUUGUAGAGAAAGAAGUAUA